rnacentral:rRNA from 1 species
GGCCCAGACUCCUACGGGAGGCAGCAGUCGGGAAUAUUGCGCAAUGGAGGAAACUCUGACGCAGUGACGCCGCGUAUAGGAAGAAGGUUUUCGGAUUGUAAACUAUUGUCGUGAGGGAAGAAAUUGACAGUACCUCAGGAGGAAGCUCCGGCUAACUAUGUGCCAGCAGCCGCGGUAAUACAUAGGGAGCAAGCGUUAUCCGGAUUUACUGGGUGUAAAGGGAGCGUAGACGGUCCUGCAAGCCAGAUGUGAAAGCCCGGGGCUCAACCCCGGGACUGCAUUUGGAACUGUAAGGCUAGAGUGUCGGAGAGGCAGGCGGAAUUCCUAGUGUAGCGGUGAAAUGCGUAGAUAUUAGGAGGAACACCAGUGGCGAAGGCGGCCUGCUGGACGAUGACUGACGUUGAGGCUCGAAAGCGUGGGGAGCAAACAGGAUUAGAUACCCUAGUA